GAUGAACGCUGGCGGCGUGCCUAAUACAUGCAAGUCGAGCGAACAGACGAGGAGCUUGCUCCUCUGACGUUAGCGGCGGACGGGUGAGUAACACGUGGAUAACCUACCUAUAAGACUGGGAUAACUUCGGGAAACCGGAGCUAAUACCGGAUAAUAUAUUGAACCGCAUGGUUCAAUUGUGAAAGACGGUUUUGCUGUCACUUAUAGAUGGAUCCGCGCCGCAUUAGCUAGUUGGUAAGGUAACGGCUUACCAAGGCAACGAUGCGUAGCCGACCUGAGAGGGUGAUCGGCCGCACUGGAACUGAGACACGGUCCAGACUCCUACGGGAGGCAGCAGUAGGGAAUCUUCCGCAAUGGGCGAAAGCCUGACGGAGCAACGCCGCGUGAGUGAUGAAGGUCUUCGGAUCGUAAAACUCUGUUAUUAGGGAAGAACAAAUGUGUAAGUAACUAUGCACGUCUUGACGGUACCUAAUCAGAAAGCCACGGCUAACUACGUG
rnacentral:rRNA from 1 species